GGAUUGCCUUAGUAACGGCGAGUGAAGCGGCAAAAGCUCAAAUUUGAACUCUGGCGUCUUCGACGUCCGAGUUGUAAUUUGAAGAAGGCGACUUUGUAGCUGGUCCUUGUCUAUGUUCCUUGGAACAGGACGUCAUAGAGGGUGAGAAUCCCGUGUGGCGAGGAUCCCAGUUAUUUGUAAAGUGCUUUCGACGAGUCGAGUUGUUUGGGAAUGCAGCUCUAAGUGGGUGGUAAAUUCCAUCUAAAGCUAAAUAUUGGCGAGAGACCGAUAGCGAACAAGUACAGUGAUGGAAAGAUGAAAAGAACUUUGAAAAGAGAGUGAAAAAGUACGUGAAAUUGUUGAAAGGGAAGGGCAUUUGAUCAGACAUGGCGUUUGCUUCGGCUUUCGCUGGGCCAGCAUCAGUUUUAGCGGUUGGAUAAAUCCUCGGGAAUGUGGCUCUGCUUCGGUAGAGUGUUAUAGCCCGUGGGAAUACAGCCAGCUGGGACUGAGGAUUGCGACUUUUGUCAAGGAUGCUGGCGUAAUGGUUAAAUGCCGCCCGUCUUGAAACACGGACCUCCUGUGUGAAGUGA
rnacentral:rRNA from 1 species